UAUACAUUGGUGUUUAAGCAUAAAAAGUUUUGAUCUUUUAGGAUAUAGUUAAUUCUAUUAUGUGUAA
rnacentral:tRNA from 1 species